CUACGUGCCAGCAGCCGCGGUAAUACGUAGGGCGCGAGCGUUGUCCGGAAUUAUUGGGCGUAAAGAGCUUGUAGGCGGUUUGUCGCGUCUGCUGUGAAAGGCCGGGGCUUAACCCCGUGUAUUGCAGUGGGUACGGGCAGACUAGAGUGCAGUAGGGGAGACUGGAAUUCCUGGUGUAGCGGUGGAAUGCGCAGAUAUCAGGAGGAACACCGAUGGCGAAGGCAGGUCUCUGGGCUGUAACUGACGCUGAGAAGCGAAAGCAUGGGGAGCGAACAGGAUUAGAUACCCUGGUAGUCCACGCCGUAAACGAUGAGUGCUAGGUGUUGGGUCCUUUCCGGGACUCAGUGCCGCAGCUAACGCAUUAAGCACUCCGCCUGGGGAGUACGACCGCAAGGUUGAAACUCAAAGGAAUUGACGGGGGCCCGCACAAGCGGUGGAGCAUGUGGUUUAAUUCGAUGCAACGCGAAGAACCUUACCUACUCUUGACAUCCAUGGAAUCUUGUAGAGAUACGAGAGUGC
rnacentral:rRNA from 1 species